AGGACGAACGCUGGCGGCGUGCCUAACACAUGCAAGUCGAACGGGACCAGGGGCAACUCUGGUUCAGUGGCGGACGGGUGCGUAACACGUGAGGAACAUGACCUUCGGCGGGGGAUAGCCGGCCCAACGGCCGGGUAAUACCGCGUACGACCACUUGAGGACAUCCUCGGGUGGUGAAAGCAGCAAUGCGCCGAUGAAGUGCCUCGCGGCCUAUCAGCUAGUUGGUGAGGUAACGGCUCACCAAGGCGACGACGGGUAGCUGGU
rnacentral:rRNA from 1 species